GCCGCUUCUCGGCCUUUUGACUAAGAUCAAGUGUAGUAUCUGUUCUUAUCAGUUUCAUGCCGUGGGCAGGCGACGCCGAUGUGGAGCUGGUUGGGAUGGAUGCUGCAUGGUAGGGGGCAGGUGUACCAGGACGUUCCGGGGCUGGUUCUGAGGACUCAGCUCGAUGGCUGCCCCGAUGUGACCUGUU